rnacentral:rRNA from 1 species
UACGUAGGGUGCAAGCGUUAAUCGGAAUUACUGGGCGUAAAGCGUGCGCAGGCGGUUAUGUAAGACAGAUGUGAAAUGCCCGGGCUUAACCUGGGAACUGCAUUUGUGACUGCAUGGCUAGAGUUUGGCAGAGGGGGGUAGAAUUCCACGUGUAGCAGUGAAAUGCGUAGAUAUGUGGAGGAACACCGAUGGCGAAGGCAGCCCCCUGGGUCAAGACUGACGCUCAUGCACGAAAGCGUGGGGAGCAAACAGGAUAGAG